rnacentral:rRNA from 1 species
GGAUUAGAUACCCUGGUAGUCCACGCAGUAAACGAUGAGCACUAGACGUGGGAGAGGUUGACUCUCCGGUGUCGCAGCUAACGCAUUAAGUGCUCCGCCUGGGGAGUACGGCCGCAAGGUUGAAACUCAAAGGAAUUGACGGGGGCCCGCACAAGCGGUGGAGCAUGUGGUUUAAUUCGAUGCAACGCGAAGAACCUUACCUGCCCUUGACAUCCGGGGAACCUUACUGAGAGGUAAGGGUGCCUUCGGGAACUCCGAGACAGGUGCUGCAUGGCUGUCGUCAGCUCGUGCCG